rnacentral:rRNA from 1 species
UUAAGCGACUAAGCGUACACGGUGGAUGCCCUGGCAGUCAGAGGCGAUGAAGGACGUGCUAAUCUGCGAUAAGCGUCGGUNCACACUAUCAUUAACUGAAUCCAUAGGUUAAUGAGGCGAACCGGGGGAACUGAAACAUCUAAGUACCCCGAGGAAAAGAAAUCAACCGAGAUUCCCCCAGUAGCGGCGAGCGAACGGGGAGGAGCCCAGAGCCUGAAUCAGUGUGUGUGUUAGUGGAAGCGUCUGGAAAGGCGCGCGAUACAGGGUGACAGCCCCGUACACAAAAAUGCACAUGCUGUGAGCUCGAUGAGUAGGGCGGGACACGUGGUAUCCUGUCUGAAUAUGGGGGGACCAUCCUCCAAGGCUAAAUACUCCUGACUGACCGAUAGUGAACCAGUACCGUGAGGGAAAGGCGAAAAGAACCCCGGCGAGGGGAGUGAAAAAGAACCUGAAACCGUGUACGUACAAGCAGUGGGAGCCUCUUUUAUGGGGUGACUGCGUACCUUUUGUAUAAUGGGUCAGCGACUUAUAUUCUGUAGCAAGGUUAACCGAAUAGGGGAGCCGAAGGGAAACCGAGUCUUAACUGGGCGUUAAGUUGCAGGGUAUAGACCCGAAACCCGGUGAUCUAGCCAUGGGCAGGUUGAAGGUUGGGUAACACUAACUGGAGGACCGAACCGACUAAUGUUGAAAAAUUAGCGGAUGACUUGUGGCUGGGGGUGAAAGGCCAAUCAAACCGGGAGAUAGCUGGUUCUCCCCGAAAGCUAUUUAGGUAGCGCCUCGUGAAUUCAUCUCCGGGGGUAGAGCACUGUUUCGGCAAGGGGGUCAUCCCGACUUACCAACCCGAUGCAAACUGCGAAUACCGGAGAAUGUUAUCACGGGAGACACACGGCGGGUGCUAACGUCCGUCGUGAAGAGGGAAACAACCCAGACCGCCAGCUAAGGUCCCAAAGUCAUGGUUAAGUGGGAAACGAUGUGGGAAGGCCCAGACAGCCAGGAUGUUGGCUUAGAAGCAGCCAUCAUUUAAAGAAAGCGUAAUAGCUCACUGGUCGAGUCGGCCUGCGCGGAAGAUGUAACGGGGCUAAACCAUGCACCGAAGCUGCGGCAGCGACGCUUAUGCGUUGUUGGGUAGGGGAGCGUUCUGUAAGCCUGUGAAGGUGUGCUGUGAGGCAUGCUGGAGGUAUCAGAAGUGCGAAUGCUGACAUAAGUAACGAUAAAGCGGGUGAAAAGCCCGCUCGCCGGAAGACCAAGGGUUCCUGUCCAACGUUAAUCGGGGCAGGGUGAGUCGACCCCUAAGGCGAGGCCGAAAGGCGUAGUCGAUGGGAAACAGGUUAAUAUUCCUGUACUUGGUGUUACUGCGAAGGGGGGACGGAGAAGGCUAUGUUGGCCGGGCGACGGUUGUCCCGGUUUAAGCGUGUAGGCUGGUUUUCCAGGCAAAUCCGGAAAAUCAAGGCUGAGGCGUGAUGACGAGGCACUACGGUGCUGAAGCAACAAAUGCCCUGCUUCCAGGAAAAGCCUCUAAGCAUCAGGUAACAUCAAAUCGUACCCCAAACCGACACAGGUGGUCAGGUAGAGAAUACCAAGGCGCUUGAGAGAACUCGGGUGAAGGAACUAGGCAAAAUGGUGCCGUAACUUCGGGAGAAGGCACGCUGAUAUGUAGGUGAAGCGACUUGCUCGUGGAGCUGAAAUCAGUCGAAGAUACCAGCUGGCUGCAACUGUUUAUUAAAAACACAGCACUGUGCAAACACGAAAGUGGACGUAUACGGUGUGACGCCUGCCCGGUGCCGGAAGGUUAAUUGAUGGGGUUAGCGGUAACGCGAAGCUCUUGAUCGAAGCCCCGGUAAACGGCGGCCGUAACUAUAACGGUCCUAAGGUAGCGAAAUUCCUUGUCGGGUAAGUUCCGACCUGCACGAAUGGCGUAAUGAUGGCCAGGCUGUCUCCACCCGAGACUCAGUGAAAUUGAACUCGCUGUGAAGAUGCAGUGUACCCGCGGCAAGACGGAAAGACCCCGUGAACCUUUACUAUAGCUUGACACUGAACAUUGAGCCUUGAUGUGUAGGAUAGGUGGGAGGCUUUGAAGUGUGGACGCCAGUCUGCAUGGAGCCGGCCUUGAAAUACCACCCUUUAAUGUUUGAUGUUCUAACGUUGGCCCCUGAUCGGGGUUGCGGACAGUGUCUGGUGGGUAGUUUGACUGGGGCGGUCUCCUCCUAAAGAGUAACGGAGGAGCACGAAGGUUGGCUAAUCCUGGUCGGACAUCAGGAGGUUAGUGCAAUGGCAUAAGCCAGCUUGACUGCGAGCGUGACGGCGCGAGCAGGUGCGAAAGCAGGUCAUAGUGAUCCGGUGGUUCUGAAUGGAAGGGCCAUCGCUCAACGGAUAAAAGGUACUCCGGGGAUAACAGGCUGAUACCGCCCAAGAGUUCAUAUCGACGGCGGUGUUUGGCACCUCGAUGUCGGCUCAUCACAUCCUGGGGCUGAAGUAGGUCCCAAGGGUAUGGCUGUUCGCCAUUUAAAGUGGUACGCGAGCUGGGUUUAGAACGUCGUGAGACAGUUCGGUCCCUAUCUGCCGUGGGCGCUGGAGAACUGAGGGGGGCUGCUCCUAGUACGAGAGGACCGGAGUGGACGCAUCACUGGUGUUCGGGUUGUCAUGCCAAUGGCACUGCCCGGUAGCUAAAUGCGGAAGAGAUAAGUGCUGAAAGCAUCUAAGCACGAAACUUGCCCCGAGAUGAGUUCUCCCUGAGACUUUAAGUCUCCUGAAGGAACGUUGAAGACGACGACGUUGAUAGGCCGGGUGUGUAAGCGCAGCGAUGCGUUGAGCUAACCGGUACUAAUGAACCGUGAGGCUUAACCUU